GGUUAUAAUGAGGUUGGACAGGAAGGGAGGUGGGGACUGGGCAGCAGCAAAUGGCAGAGAGGGGAGGAUCAGGCAACAGUGAAUUGCAUGAGAGGACAGGGGGUCAGAAUGGGAGAGCAGGUCGGGAGCUGGUAUACGAGGUGGGACAGAGGCUGGGGCUAAGCAGUGGCAAAGAGGAGGGGAACAGCUGAUAGGAAGUGAAAAGGGAGCUGCUCACUUGCUACUGUCAUAUUAAUAACACUCAGGGCCUAUACAGCACUGACCAGCCAUCAAUCCCAGCACAUCUGGUAAGGAGGUCACUACCCUUAUUCCCCUUUUACAGAUGGGGAAGUGAAGGGCAGAGAAUGGAUUUGUUCACGGUCGCACUACAGGGAAGGCUGGACAGUCUGAGACCUUUUGCAGCAUCCAUCAGUCCUGAGGACUUCCCCGCAGCCAUCACCGGUUUAUUUACAGCAAUUUAUAGCGACGAGAGCCCAGCAAGAGCAGCAUCAGCCAGGCGCGGGGGGCAGGGAGGAGUGCUGGAGGGGCUGCCCUUGCUCCAGAAGAACUUGUGAUUGGGGUAUGGUGCCUCUGUAUCGACCUGUCAGCUGGGCCCUCCCCCUCCGCUCGCUCCCAGCUCCCCAGUGCCAACGUGCGCUCUCCCCAGAGAUGAAAGGACCUGUGCCAGCUGGAGGCCUUGACUCUCCCCACUUUGCUGCUAUCUGUGCUGGCAGCCCCCCAGGAAACACUCUCACUCUGUGUACGUCCCCCCCUCCCGUCAUUUGCUCACACCGCUGCUGGGAACCGGCUUUCCCACCAGACUGCCGUCUCCCGGGCAGAUUGCAGAGCAGGCCUGGCAGCAAGUGCAAGGAGGGUGGGAAAUAUGGGAUCCAGGCACCCCGCCCAUGUGACAGCACGCUCUUGCCAGGUGUUUUUCAACCUGACGUGCCCAAGAUGGAGGCUGAAAGGAAUUUAUCGUGCGAGGCUGCUGGGCGGCUCAUGCCAGGCUAGGCAGUCAGUGGACAGGCUGCAGGCAGGACUCGGGAUGCUAUCGGCAUUAUUCAAGGGGAACGGAGCCUAAGAUUCAUGUGGCUGCUGCAGGGAACCUGCUGAGCUCAGGAGACUGCUGCUGACAGCUGCUUAAUGGAACUGGCUGGUUAUGCUCCAGCACCGUCACCUUUGAAUCGCACCAGCCGGGACCCCAGUUCCCUCACAGCUGCAUCCCGUCAGGGCCGGGCAAGGAUCCUGGGCUGUGAACUUCCUCCCACCAGUGCCCUGUGAGUGCCGGGCCUGGCUCCAAGUGCCCUGUGAGCGUCAGACAGGAAGAUACAAAAAGCCAAUUUCCUAGCAUAGUGGCAGCGGCUCCUGGGAAUGCCAGCCAAGCAACACUACUGGCUACAGCUGGGGGGGAUGUAUGGAAGCCAGUGCAAUGCUAAGUUUCUCCUUCCUCUGUAGAGCCCACCUGCCUGCCUUGAGAGGAGAGCUUUUUCCUCUGAUCUGAUCUCCCAAAGUUAUCUCCCCCCAGGCAUGCGCUUUGCCAGCCGUCUCUGGAUUAGCUCCCUCCAGCUUCUCCCAUGCUCACAGGGCUGCUUUCCAGCAUGUUGUGUUCAAGACCUCUCCCUCCACUGCUGGCUACUUUGCUGGGGCUUGGGUUGACAUUUCAGUGAGGAUAGACCAUUCUAGCCCCUAGGGCCAGGUCCCCACAGCUAGUAACACUGACAGUGUUUCCUACACCAACUUCUGCAGGGAGACUCUGAGACUGAAGGGACUAGAGCCGUUCCUGCCAUGCCCAGCACUGCUACAGCAAGCUGGGUUGGGAGCAGCUGCACUCACGCAGCUUCUUGCUAGGAGAAAUGACAGUAUCGUGGAGAGCGACUCCCCCUGACAGAGGACGGGGACCAGCAGAGCUGGGAACUCCAAGGGGCGGAGGCUGCUACUGUGGGAGAAUGACCCUGUCUGGACUGGAAAGUCAGCUGGCUCUAACUGGACCAGCAACUGAAGCAGCAAAUACCCUCUUAGUUUGCAUGCAAUGAUGUCAGUAUAAAAGUCCUUAUAGCAGCAUAGCAUAAUCCAGGUCAGGAAAUAAAUGACUGCACAUCAGAACAAAUGAGAUGGGCAGAAAUUAUCUUUAAACGAGUAUAACUGUGGAUACAUGAGGGCUUUUGCUGGAGUAUCUAUAUAGGUAAAAAUAACCCCCUAAGCCAUAGGAUUUUAUCUUACAUGCAUAGGCCAGGUCUUAAUGGAACCCAUGCUUUGACCUCUUCAUACCGGGCCUCCAACUAGCUCAGGUAUUACCGGCUCAUCAGUAUGGAAUCAGCAUCUGUCAUGUAUUUGUCUUCCUCACCCUGUGAGGCAUGGAAGUGCCUUUACCCCUGUUUUACAGAAGGAUGGAGACAGAGAGACAUUAAGUGAUUUGCCCAAGGUCACCCAGGAAUUCCAUAGCAGAGUUUGAAAUUAAACAGGGGUCAUCUGUGCCCUGUGUUGGUGCCCUAACCACUGGACCACACUUCCUGCUUCCUGCUGGAAAGGCCAGUAAUAGAGCAUUCAGCCCUGAGCACGGCCCUUUUAUGCAAAGAAGAAAGGAAAUGCGAUGGCUCGAGAUGUUUUGUGACCUCCCAGAACCUGUUUCCUCUAGAAUAAAAGAAAAAUGCCCCUUUCCCUGCCAAGCCAGAAGGUGCACUUGUCCUGCUCCCACCUUCUCUCCCCUUCAUCCUGGGAUCGGAGUCUCUCUUUCCAGGGUGCCAUGUUUGGUGUUCUGUGGUUUGCCCCUCUGCUACAUUAGCUCCAAAGGGAGGAACAAAUGAAGAGAGAGAAGAGCCACUCCUCUCCGAUCAGAGCCAGAUUCCCCCAGCAGGACUGAUGAGAUGCAGGAGAACCAGCUGUGUCACUGCAGGAGUUGUGAGGAAGGAAGCCAGUGGGAGGAGAGCAAUUCUUCCCGGCAGGGCUGCUGUGGGUGAUUCAGCAGACGGGGCAUUCUCCUCUAGCAAUGAAGAUGACCAGAGAGUGGAAUAAAGCCCAUUUGUGUGGAAAGCCCCAUGGCACUUGAGAUGCAACACAGCCAGGGCUGAAAGGGCCUCUCUGGAUGACUGCCAGGAGCACUUUGGGAUGUCUGUCUGCUGAGCCUGAAGAUUUGGGCCCAGGUGGAAGCAGCAGUGUGCGCUGUUCAAAAGGAGACAGAAUGGAGGUCAUCAGUGAUCAGCUAAAGCCUAUGUAAUUUUUAACUGAAAAACAAGAAAGAGCCAGGCCCUGCACUGCAUUUCUCAUUGCAAUCACUGGAAGUAAAACCCUGGGUAAUAUUAAACCUGCCUCCUGUCCAGGUAUGCAAGUGUAACCAACUGAGACACGCAUCUGCUGAGAAAGCUUUUAGGAGAAGCCAGGGAAAUCAGGAGCAUAACUCACUUUCUUGGUGGCCUCUAGCGGCCAAAGGGAGGCAUUUAAACUUCAGCAAGAGCAUCCCAGUAAAUCACAUCUCUCCAUUCCUACUUCACCAGCAUGACAAGCUCCACCGAGCACUGCCAAAACUGGAAGAGACCUACCUUGUAGAGGACCUUACUGUGCAGGGAGCUGAAGAGAAGGGAAACCUCGCACAUAGAAAGAGAGAACCUUUCACCAAUCCUUCCCAAACAUGUGGUGUCGUCUGGAAAACCACACAGGGCUAGAGCGAUGAUUCACAUUUUCCCAGCAGAAUCAGAUGCAAGUGUCCAAGGGUGCUGAUAGUUCACUACUAGAACGCGGAGAACGGCACAGCGUGGAAGCCUGAGCUUAGGACUAAACUAUGGGGAAAACAAGCAGGCACAAAGCGCAGCCAUUUGCAAGCUGUGUGACAUGGACUCUAGUUCUCAGUUAAAGCAGGCCCUGUUUCUACCAUCAGGUAAAGGGGACAGCUGAUGUCAAACCAACCUGAAGGCACGGCUCCCAGCCCCUGACACUGUAAGACCAUAAAUUACCAUCAGUCCCAGGAUUUCUGUAGCUCCCCACAGGGACAGACUCUUGCAGGGACCCAGAACACAAAGAAUAUAAUUUAAAAUCACCACGACCUCUCUGCCCAAGUGCAGGAAUUGUAUAGCUGAGCCUUGUAUUCACGUAUGCGCAUGAGAACAGUGCUUGGUUUGAUGGGUUUUAUCAAAAUGCAUUUAAAAUGAUAGUGAGGAAUGCAGGGUGUAUUGGGAAUAGCAGGCUGAAACAAUGGAUGGGAAAGACAAAAGGGAGAAAUGGAAAGUGUUCAAAGACAAAAUUAUCAUCUCCCCUGGGGCAACAGAUUCUCUCCAGCAAUGAAAACCAAGAUAAGGGUGAAAAAGUUUUUAGGGAGAGUUUUGUGCAACACAGGAGGAUUGGAAAGGGCAUAGGAAUGGAAUUAAGUGGUUGGAAAAUGCACAAGAGCAAAGAGUAAGUUUAAUUUCAGCAACUGGUGUGAUAGGGAAAGCAUUAACAGGAUAAGAACAGGUCAGCUGAAUUCAGAAAAAGAUCAGAAAGCGAGAGAGAGAGAGAAAGUUCUGCAAAGAAACCUGGAAGACUCAGGAGGAGGAAGUGGUGCAUAGCCUCUCCCUUGUUUUUCAAGGAUAUUUUUGAAGACAACACCGUGCACAAGACUACUCGACAAGAACAGUGCGUGCAGUCUGCUGUUUGCGUGCAGAAGGAACGGGCUUGGCCAUCAACCACCCAGGGGUCUGGCACAUGGAAGCAGUUGGGGAAGGUGGGAGCUGGCAAGCAGAGAGCCAUGGGAAUCAGUAAACAGGAUCAAUUUUGUUUAAUGACCUGGAAGAAGGAAAAUGCAAUUGGCUGAUAGAAUGUGCUGAUGGUAAAGCUGGGAGGGAGGGAAAGCCUGCUGUAGGAAAGAGGAGUUCAGUCAAUUCAGAGCAAUUUGGAUUGUGUAGGGGAGCAGGGCAGAAAUCCACACUGAAAUGAUACAAUGCAGGAAGGGAAAUAACCAGGCCGCAGACAGCACUCUAUAAACGCUGAGUUGAAGAAGAACCUGGGAGUGGCAGACGCAAUCCGAAAACCUUUGACAUGGGGUGUGAAUGCAGUAAAAGAUCAAAAGCAACAGUAGGCUACAUUCAGAGACGGGAGAUGACCCUGGAUCAGCAUGAGGGAUCACAGAGAGCUCCUCGAGAAAUCUCUGCACUUCUGAAAAAGCAGGGAAAGCAGAGCACAGAAGUGGAGCCACUGCAGAGGGGAGCACAAAGGGCAUCAACGAGAGUGGAUAAGCUUUGGGAGGAAUUCACUGAAGUGAGUGCAUAUGAAAUUCUCGGAGGAGAAGGCAGGCCACGUCCUGCAAAAGCCUUCAAGCUAUGGACAAAUGCAAGAAGCAAAGAACAUGAACUUAAGCGGAGACAGGAACACACUGGAGAGGAACACAGGCAGAAUACCUUUGUGUGAACAGUGCUGACAAAUGAGCCCAGGGAAGAGAGCAGGGACAAUAACUAAACUUCUCAACGUACCGGUAUGGUACAUGGCUCAAUAUUUACGAGGUAAGUACUGAGGCACGCACACACAAAAGCUCAGAUCCAUCAGGGUAUUUGGGAGCCUCAAACUCCAAUGGCAUUAGACAGGAGUCCAGUGCCUACAUAUCUUGGUGGCUUCACGCUUAAGUGUUUUUACAGCAUAGUAAAAGAGAGCAGGAAAGAGACCUGGGGAGGGGGGCGAUUCCUGAAGAAUAACGCUUUGGGCUCUUUUUUCCUGUAUAGUUAUCUCACGUUAUCUGCACUUGAGGUCUCCUCUUGAGUUAGCUUAGUUCAAGUGGUCACACUGCAAAACAACACACCAGCUGCAAAGUGACUGGGCUGACAGCACAGGGUAGCUGUGUCUCCACUGUACUUUUGACAUAAUGGUCAGCAACACUCCAGCUUCAAACCAAACCUUCUGACAGGCCAGGCUUAAACACCUUUCACUCAUACUGAAGAUCUGCCUGUGUGGAUGGGAGCUGGGCAAGGAGCAGCACUGGAACUAUACCUUGAGUUAACACCACAGUGAGCUCAAGCCCAUAACCUACUGGACUGAAAAAAUAUCACAUGUGUGGAGAGUGAGGGGGGAAGAGAUCAUCUGAAGGAAAAAAACUGUAAACUCCAAAAACACUUGAGAGUGGGCGUGCAAUACAAAGAGAAUGACCUAAAUGUAAUUUUUGCUCUCGGCCUUGGUUAGCUAUUUUUAGCAGCUUGCUGGGUUCAAACCAGAGAACUCUGCAACGACUAGAGAGCAAGGGGGGCAACAGGAGACAGCAAUUUUAUUUUUUUUUUAAAUACCUGGAACAUUUAGUCUUUUAAAUAUGCUCAUGUGUUUGAUUUUCUCCUUUGGGGUUUCAACAACAUUCCUGAUAAGCACCUCGCGGGUUCUGUUUGCAGGAGCAAAGUCCAGAUGGACGAUUCCAGUUCACACAUGUGAAAGGGCGUUUUUCAGACCGAUCCAUAGAAACAAGAACCCACCCAAUCUUCAGGCCUAAAUUAACUUCAUCAACAACCAAGGUGACACGGAGAGCCUUACUUAACCAGAUCCAGAAAGAGCUGCGAUUUCUCUGCAGCUAUAACAUGGGUCACGUUGUUUCAGAGGUCUCUGCUCUGGAGUUACUCUAACAAGCUGCAUUGUAUUAGCAGCCUUGGGCAUAUCAUAUGCAAUGCCCCUUCCCCUCCUGGUGACACCCUAGCUGACUGUUGCCUAGCUAUGUCCACAAAACAGAACCUCAGCAGGGGCAGAGCUGCAAACUUACUCCGUUACCAGCACCAAAGAGCAGCUGAACUCUCACAGAUUUUAUCCCCUUUUCCCUGCCAUACUUGAGAGCUAAGUCAGAAAGAGGUGUGCCACUGGCACGGCAAAAUAACCUUUUUUAUUUCAUCCCAUACAAGGCUCUGCUCUGCCCGGCACAGCAUGACCCACAGGUUUUCUUCCCCUGGCAGCUUCA